ACACAGAUUCUUUUCUCCCACCUCUUCCCAUCUGCAGGACAUGGGGAGACAAUCAUUAACAGUAUACAACAACUUUCAAACUCCCUUCUUCAAUGGACUACCAAGAUCAGAAAGCCACUAUAAAACCCAAUGAAGUUUUCAUUUGAUGCUCUGAACAGG